CGAGGCGAACCGGGGAAACUGAAACAUCUCAGUACCCCGAGGAAAAGAAAUCAACCGAGAUUCCCCCAGUAGCGGCGAGCGAACGGGGAGCAGCCCAGAGUCAACAUCAAUAUUUACCACAGGAGAAGGGUCUGGAAAGGCCGGCAAUAAAGGGUGAUAGCCCCGUAUCUAAAGCGGUAAGUGUUGUGAACUCGAAGAGUAGGGCGGGACACGUGUUAUCCUGUCUGAAUAUGGGGGGACCAUCCUCCAAGGCUAAAUACUCCUGACUGACCGAUAGUGAACCAGUACCGUGAGGGAAAGGCGAAAAGAACCCCGGCGAGGGGAGUGAAAUAGAACCUAAAACCGUGUACGUACAAGCAGUAGGAGCACCCGAAAGGGUGUGACUGCGUACCUUUUGUAUAAUGGGUCAGCGACUUAUAUUCUGUAGCAAGGUUAACCGCAUAGGGGAGCCGUAGGGAAACCGAGUCUUAACUGGGCGUUAAGUUGCAGGGUAUAGACCCGAAACCCGGUGAUCUAGCCAUGACGCAGGUUGAAG
rnacentral:rRNA from 1 species